UACGUAGGAGGCAAGCGUUGUCCGGAAUUACUGGGCGUAAAGCGCGUGUAGGCGGUUCGGUAAGUCGGGUGUGAAAACUCUGGGCUCAACCCAGAGCCGCCACCCGAUACUGCUGUGACUUGAGUUCGGUAGGGGAGCGGGGAAUUCCUGGUGUAGCGGUGAAAUGCGCAGAUAUCAGGAGGAACACCAGUGGCGAAGGCGCCGCUCUGGGCCGAGACUGACGCUGAGGAGCGAAAGCGUGGGUAGCAAACAGG
rnacentral:rRNA from 1 species